UACGUAGGGGGCAAGCGUUGUCCGGAAUUAUUGGGCGUAAAGAGCGUGUAGGCGGCCAGAUAAGUCCGCUGUGAAAUCUCGAGGCUCAACUUCGAGCUGUCGGUGGAAACUAUCUGGCUAGAGUCCGGAAGAGGAGAAUGGAAUUCCUGGUGUAGCGGUGAAAUGCGCAGAUAUCAGGAAGAACACCCGUGGCGAAGGCGGUUCUCUGGGACGGUACUGACGCUGAGACGCGAAAGCGUGGGGGAGCGAACAGG
rnacentral:rRNA from 1 species